UUGUUAUUUCUUAUUCCGAGACUGAACCGAGCAGAGCUGCCGAAGAAGUGGCAGUCCUGUUCUUUCUGCCUCGUCUGGUGGGGUCAAAUUCUUCCCCGGGAUGAUGUAGAUUCGCUGACCGACUCCUGCCGGAGACUUCGCAGUGACAAAGCAGUUGAAGAUAAACCCUGCUCCUGGGUCCUACGUCCGUCCAAGGAGCUGGACGGGGCACUCCUCAGGGAGUGUUGGACUGUGAGCUAUUGCAGAACUCUGUUCUCAGGACCCGUUAUUUUAACAGCCAGGAGAAGCACAUCUAGAAGAUGCACAUGA
rnacentral:lncRNA from 1 species